UUAACUUAGUCUGUGGUAUAAGUGAAGUCCCUUAAUUAACAACCAAACUCAAACAGUCUUAUCGAUGCUGAGUGGUUGAUGAUGAUUCUCUAUGGAUUCUCGUGACUGUGUAUUAUUUGUGUGUGCAAAAAAUGGUGUUUCUUGCAUUGGGUAUUGGAGCUCCGAUAUGGGGGAAAAUGGCCGAUAAAUAUGGUCGUAAAAAGGUAUUUACAGGUACAACUGUAAUUGUUGUAAUUUGUGGAAGUCUAACUAUUGUAGCGC